rnacentral:rRNA from 1 species
UACGUAGGCAGCAAGCGUUGUUCGGAUUUACUGGGCGUAAAGAGUGCGUAGGCGGUGGCCUAAGUUCGGUGUGAAAUCUCCCGGCUUAACUGGGAGGGUGCGCCGGAAACUGGGCUGCUGGAGUGUGGGAAAGGCAAGCGGAAUUCCUGGUGUAGCGGUGAAAUGCGUAGAUAUCAGGAGGAACACCGGCGGUGUAGACGGCUUGCUAGACCAUAACUGACGCUGAGGCACGAAAGCGUGGGUAGCAAACAGG